UACGUAGGGGGCAAGCGUUGUCCGGAUUUAUUGGGCGUAAAGAGCGUGUAGGCGGCCAUACAGGUCAGCUGUGAAAACUCGAGGCUCAACCUCGAGACGUCGGUUGAAACCGUAUGGCUAGAGUCCGGAAGAGGAGAGUGGAAUUCCCGGUGUAGCGGUGAAAUGCGCAGAUAUCGGGAAGAACACCCGUGGCGAAGGCGGCUCUCUGGGACGGUACUGACGCUGAGACGCGAAAGCAUGGGGAGCGAACAGG
rnacentral:rRNA from 1 species